rnacentral:rRNA from 1 species
AUCCUACGGGGGGCAGCAGUGGGGAAUAUUGCACAAUGGGGGAAACCCUGAUGCAGCAACGCCGCGUGAGUGAAGAAGGUUUUCGGAUUGUAAAGCUCUGUUAGCAGGGAAGAGGAAGGACGGUACCUGCAGAGGAAGCCACGGCUAACUACGUGCCAGCAGCCGCGGUAAUACGUAGGGGGCAAGCGUUAUCCGGAUUUACUGGGUGUAAAGGGAGCGUAGACGGUUAUGUAAGUCUGGAGUGAAAGCCCGGGGCCCAACCCCGGGACUGCUUUGGAAACUGUGUAACUGGAGUACAGGAGGGG